UUAGGCCUUUAAAAUAUUCAUUAAACCAAAUUUUUCUGAUUAGAAGUUAAAAUUAACAACAGCUAUGUUGUUGGCAGAAGCUGGAUGUUUUUUUCUGGGUUUCAUUCUGUGUCUCUCAGGUGUUCAGGGAAAACCAAACAGCAUCUGUGCCUUGAAAGGUUCAUCAGUGAAUCUGCCCUGCUCAGAUCAACAUCCCACUGCAAGAAAUAGCUGGUACGCUGGAUACUUGACUAUCUCCAAGAUAUUGUUCACUACAGAUGAAACACAUGUAAAGUACAGCAUGUCAGCAGAGAGUAAUUUCACUCUAACAAUCAAUAAUCUGACAGAGAGAGAUGCAAAUUUUUACUGUUGCAUUAAAACUGCUGACAGAUCAAAGUGCCAACAAAGUGGAAUUAAUUUUCAAGUUACAGAGCUGCAGGUAAAGGUGAUUCCUGCCACAGAGGGACAGACAGUAACACUGAUGUGCAGCAGCAGCUGUCCUCUGACUGAAAAGCCUGCAGCCUACAUCUGGUAC